rnacentral:lncRNA from 1 species
UUGCCCUGCUUCCGCUGCCUUCACUCUCUAUCCACGGUCCUCUAUUUUUAUAGGCACAAAUUGGGUUGAAAUUGGAUUAAAAUUGAAUUCCUAUUCGUGUUAAAAGUCCUCAACCCACGCCCACCAUCGGAUGAUGAUCAAAUGGCCAAAAUCCCAUCUCAAAAUAUUCUAAAUCAAGUUGACUGCAUUCUUGACUGUUGGAUCCUUUUCUAGAUCAAAUUGGAACCAUUGG